rnacentral:rRNA from 1 species
GUGGGGAAUUUUGGACAAUGGGCGAAAGCCUGAUCCAGCCAUGCCGCGUGCAGGAUGAAGGCCUUCGGGUUGUAAACUGCUUUUGUACGGAACGAAAAGACUCCUUCUAAUAAAUGGGGUCCAUGACGGUACCGUAAGAAUAAGCACCGGCUAACUACGUGCCAGCAGCCGCGGUAAUACGUAGGGUGCAAGCGUUAAUCGGAAUUACUGGGCGUAAAGCGUGCGCAGGCGGUUAUAUAAGACAGAUGUGAAAUCCCCGGGCUCAACCUGGGAACUGCAUUUGUGACUGUAUAGCUAGAGUACGGUAGAGGGGGAUGGAAUUCCGCGUGUAGCAGUGAAAUGCGUAGAUAUGCGGAGGAACACCGAUGGCGAAGGCAAUCCCCUGGACCUGUACUGACGCUCAUGCACGAAAGCGUGGGGAGCAAACAGGAUUAGAAACCCCGGUAGUCC